AGUGGGGAAUAUUGGACAAUGGGGGCAACCCUGAUCCAGCGACGCCGCGUGUGUGAAGAAGGCCUGCGGGUUGUAAAGCACUUUUAGUGGGGAUGAAAAGCCGAAGGCUAAUACCUUUCGGUCUUGACCUAACCCAAAGAAAAAGCACCGGCUAACUCUGUGCCAGCAGCCGCGGUAAUACAGAGGGUGCAAGCGUUAAUCGGAAUUACUGGGCGUAAAGCGUGCGUAGUCGGUCAUCUAAGUCGGAUGUGAAAUCCCCGGGCUCAACCUGGGAAUUGCAUUCGAUACUGGAUGGCUAGAGUUCGGCAGAGGGAAGUGGAAUUUCCGGUGUAGCGGUGAAAUGCGUAGAUAUCGGAAGGAACAUCAGUGGCGAAAGCGACUUCCUGGACCAGAACUGACGAUCAGGCACGAAAGCGUGGGGAGCAAA
rnacentral:rRNA from 1 species